UUAUAAAUAUCUUUCUAUCAUAAUUCUAAGGUGGUUUCAUAAAGAAUCCUGAGAAUUUUAUGAUUUCUUCCUCCUUUUAGGUAAUGGACAUUCGCUGGAAAAAAUUCAAGUCUCAACUCCCAGCAGUUUCAAGGUGAAAUCGUUGAAAUUGGGCAUCGCAUACAGCAUUUUUAAAAUUCGUACUUAUCCAUAUCAAGAAAUUAUAUAUCUUCUUCAUUGAAAAAAAACAAAACAAUUUCAUUAUCUAAAAUGAGAUCCAAUAAAAAUAAUUAAAAUAAAUACAUUCUAUCAUGAGUGGAAAAGAGGAUAUCAUAAAGGAUAACAUUAUGACAAAGAAAUAAUUUGUGUUGAAGUUUAAGACUCUCAAUCAAGGAAAAGAUUUUUAUUUAAUACAGUAUAAAGCAAGAUGUUAGAAUAGCAAUAAAGGCAUAAAAGAAAAAAAAUUAACUAUAAGAAGGAAGAAUUUACAAACAUGCUUCUUUCAGCGCCUCCAUGAGUGUUGAUUUGUCAGUCACUCCUUCCAAACUCUUUGAAUCCUUUCCAACAUUUGAUUUUUUUUUGGAUAACUAAUUAAUACUUUAUCUUGAAGAUAGAGGUUGUCUGGCCGGCAUUCAAAUUUCUGUAAAAAAAUUGUACUAAAUUCGAAAAAUCGCGUGAGAACGCCCUUGCAAUCUCAGAACAAUUUUGAACGCCUUGCCAAAUGUUUUAUUUUUAUUUAUUUCAAACGCUGAGAAAAAUAAAAUUUUAACUGGCCGAAAAGUCUAUUUUUUUUUACAGAAAAAAUAAUUAAAGUUUUGAUAAAUUAAUUAACAAUUUGAUAGCUAAUUUUAAUUAUUUAAUUACUGGAACAUUAACACGUUAUGAACAGCCGAAGCUGAACAAGUUCAUCAAAUGUUUUCAUUGUAAGUGCAUGUCUUCUUAGUAAGUAAAAAAAUAUAUUAGUAAAUAUAAAUAGAGUCGCGGCGCCUUGAGCUUUUUUUUUUUUUGUAAUUUGUCGAAAUCAAGACUUCUGUGAUAAUGAAAACAGAGCAAUACUACUGGAUGAGGAUAAUCCAAGAAUUUUGAAGCCUUCUUUAAUCGUGGUAUUUGGAAUCCUAAAAAAAAAAAAAGAAACAAAUAUAUUAUUCAUAGAAAAAAUGGUCAAUUGAAUUUUUAUUUUCUAAUAAUCUGUUUUGAGAGCUCUUAUCUAAAAAGAGUUAAAUAAUUUGAUCGUUUCCAAAAGUAAAAGAUAGUUUGCUGGAUAAAGCUGGGCUUUGCUUUCCAUCAACUAUAUAAAAGAAACGCAUUGCCAGUAAAUUUAUUUGUGUAAAAUUUUAACGAUAGAUGGCAAUUAAAUUUAAUUUACUAAUAUAUAUAUAUAGUUUGUGUUGAACCGAAAUAUAAUUUUUCUAAUUGAAAUUUUUAAUGAUGCACGUUUGAAUUAAAGGUAAGUUAAUUUUUUUAUUUGCUUUAUGAAAAUAUGUUUAAAAUAUUUGUUUACAUUCCUUAUUGAAGCGAAGUGUUCAAAAUUUUUAGAUAAAAUAUUCCAGCGAAAACAUGUUGGGACUCAAAGGUAAGUUUUUAUUAUUUCUUUUAUAUACGCUUUCUUGAAUAUUUAGUAAAACACACACAUUUUAAGAGAGUUUUCGACAUUUGGCCCAAAACCGAGACUAAGUCUCUCAUUGGUCGUGACGUCAGUGUGACGCUCAAUGUAAACAAAGGAUAUGAUUGAUUCUUUUUCACGUCACUACCUCGGGUAUUGUCUGAUUGGCUGGAUGGUUCCAACUCAUCGAUAUAGAAUUUUUUAAAAAUAAAAAUAAUUGAAAUACCUUUUGUUACUUUAAUAUUUAUAAAGGCCGUUUUUUUCCUAUUUAAUAUUAUCUCCAGAAUGUAUUUUUAAUUUUUAUAUCUCCAGAAUUUUUUUCAAAUUUUUAUAUUGGUGUAAUGUUCUCAAACGUAAACAAAGAAAUAGGGACAAAGUUAGGGAGACACCGUAACAUACAAUUAAAAAUAAAAAAGUACUUAUAUGCUUACGUAAGCUAAAGCAUACAAUAAAAUUAAAUAUAUGUGUUUUAAUUUUAAUAAUUUUAAUAAAUGCACGUGUUUUAAUUUUAAUAUAUUUUUAUAUAUGCACACAAUGACAAAAAUAUUUAAGAUUGCAAAUGCAUACAAACGUGUUUUAAAUUUUAUUUAAUAAAAAUCUAAGCUGACAAAUGCUUACGUAAGCUAAAGCAUAAAAUAAUAUUAAUUAAACGUGUUUUAAUUUUAAUAUAUUUUUAUAUAUUAAAAGCCUAGGCAUACAAUUAUACAAUAAAUACAAUUAUAUGAACAUAAUCGUUAAAAAAAAUAACAGAUAAAAAAAAUGACAGAUACAUUUAAAAAAAAAAUUAUUAUUCAGUGGGCCGAAUUUUCAUUUAUUCUUUUCAACUGAAAAAAAAAAAAAAGGUUAUUCGAAGAGUUAAUAUAGACAAAAUAACUACUCACCUAACUAGCCAGGGUAUAUCUUUCUUAUAUCCUUGAAAAAUUGUUUAAUGAGCAGUUGUUGGCUGUUUUUAUUUGUUCUUGGAUCCACAUAAUGCUUCCUUCUCCACCAAUACUCCGAAAGAUAAAAUUCAAGAGAAUCUUUUACUUUCCUUUUCCCCACGUGUAAUUUUUUUGCUGCGCCCCAGGUGGCCUCGAUAUUAUUCGUAUGUGCUCCCGUUUCCGGGUCUUUAAAAUGUAGUUUGUGGUUAACCACAAGGUGGUCGAAACCUUCUUGAUCCAGCUUGUAGUAGGAUCGAAACCCAUCCGAAAUAAUGGUGGUGCCAGGCAAAACCUAUUUUUUUAUAACCGCAAUGAGAGUACGGGCCCUACGGUCGGCGACCACCUGGAAAAAAAAAUCUUUUGUUUCCACGUCUACACCGCCAAAAACCCAAUGUCCUUCGGAAGUUUUGGCACAGUGAUUUUUAGUUUUCUUAUUGUGGCCAAACAGGCUCUCGUCUAUUUGCACCUGUUUGCCUUUACCACCAAUUUUCGGAGGGUCGUCCAGAUAUAGAAGGUAGCAAACCUCCCUGCAGAAGUUAACCCAGUGCGUUACUGCGUCAUCAGAUACCCCAGACUGCUCUGCAAUGGUCUUUAUAUCAAUCUUUACCACCCACAGUGCAGUCAUUGUUAUAAUUUGGUGGAGUUUUAAGGUCGAUUUCUCAAACCAAGUUCCGCAUCGCAAACUUGUUCUAAUACUAUGCACUCCAAUUUUUUUAGAUGUGCUUCUACAUCGCCAUACUACAUGAUCUGUGUUUGUAUAGGAUUUCAGUUCCAUAUCUCUGCCACAGUGCGGGCAUGUCCUCCACAUAAUGCUUCCUUCUCCACCAAUACUCCGAAAGAUAAAAUUCAAGAGAAUCUUUUACUUUCCUUUUCCCCCACGUGUAAUUUUUUUGCUGCGCCCCAGGUGGCCUCGAUAUUAUUCGUAUGUGCUCCCGUUUCCGGGUCUUUAAAAUGUAGUUUGUGGUUAACCACAAGGUGGUUGAAACCUUCUUGAUCCAGCUUGUAGUAGGAUCGAAACCCAUCCGAAAUAAUGGUGGUGCCAGGCAAAACCUAUUUUUUUAUAACCGCAAUGAGAGUACGGGCCCUACGGUCGGCGACCACCUGAAAAAAAAAAAUCUUUUGUUUCCACGUCUACACCGCCAAAAACCCAAUGUCCUAAGGCAGUUUUGGCACAGUGAUUUUUAGUUUUCUUAUUGUGGCCAAACAGGCUCUCGUCUAUUUGCACCUGUUUGCCUUUACCACCAAUUUUCGGAGGGUCGUCCAGAUAUAGAAGGUAGCAAACCUCCCUGCAGAAGUUAACCCAGUGCGUUACUGCGUCAUCAGAUACCCCAGACUGCUCUGCAAUGGUCUUUAUAUCAAUCUUUACCACCCACAGUGCAGUCAUUGUUAUAAUUUGGUGGAGUUUUAAGGUCGAUUUCUCAAACAAAGUUCCGCAUCGCAAACUUGUUCUAAUACUAUGCACUCCAAUUUUUUUAGAUGUGCUUCUACAUCGCCAUACUACAUGAUCUGUGUUUGUAUAGGAUUUCAGUUCCAUAUCUCUGCCACAGUGCGGGCAUGUCCUCCACAUAAUGCUUCCUUCUCCACCAAUACUCCGAAAGAUAAAAUUCAAGAGAAUCUUUUACUUUCCUUUUCCCCACGUGUAAUUUUUUUGCUGCGCCCCAGGUGGCCUCGAUAUUAUUCGUAUGUGCUCCCGUUUCCGGGUCUUUAAAAUGUAGUUUGUGGUUAACCACAAGGUGGUCGAAACCUUCUUGAUCCAGCUUGUAGUAGGAUCGAAACCCAUCCGAAAUAAUGGUGGUGCCAGGCAAAACCUAUUUUUUUAUAACCGCAAUGAGAGUACGGCCCUACGGUCGGCGACCACCUGGAAAAAAAAAUCUUUUGUUUCCACGUCUACACCGCCAAAAACCCAAUGUCCUUCGGCAGUUUUGGCACAGUGAUUUUUAGUUUUCUUAUUGUGGCCAAACAGGCUCUCGUCUAUUUGCACCUGUUUGCCUUUACCACCAAUUUUCGGAGGGUUGUCCAGAUAUAGAAGGCAGCAAACCUCCCUGCAGAAGUUAACCCAGUGCGUUACUGCGUCAUCAGAUACCCCAGACUGCUCUGCAAUGGUCUUUAUAUCAAUCUUUACCACCCACAGUGCAGUCAUUGUUAUAAUUUGGUGGAGUUUUAAGGUCGAUUUCUCAAACCAAGUUCCGCAUCGCAAACUUGUUCUAAUACUAUGCACUCCAAUUUUUUUAGAUAUGCUUCUACAUCGCCAUACUACAUGAUCUGUGUUUGUAUAGGAUUUCAGUUCCAUAUCUCUGCCACAGUGCGGGCAUGUCCUCCACAUAAUGCUUCCUUCUCUACCAAUACUCCGAAAGAUAAAAUUCAAGAGAAUCUUUUACUUUCCUUUUCCCCACGUGUAAUUUUUUUGCUGCCCCCCAGGUGGCCUCGAUAUUAUUCGUAUGUGCUCCCGUUUCCGGGUCUUUAAAAUGUAGUUUGUGGUUAACCACAAGGUGGUCGAAACCUUCUUGAUCCAGCUUGUAGUAGGAUCGAAACCCAUCCGAAAUAAUGGUGGUGCCAGGCAAAACAUAUUUUUUUAUAACCGCAAUGAGAGUACGGGCCCUACGGUCGGCGACCACCUGGAAAAAAAAUCUUUUGUUUCCACGUCUACACCGCCAAAAACCCAAUGUCCUUCGGCAGUUUUGGCACAGUGAUUUUUAGUUUUCUUAUUGUGGCCAAACAGGCUCUCGUCUAUUUGCACCUGUUUGCCUUUACCACCAAUUUUCGGAGGGUCGUCCAGAUAUAGAAGGUAGCAAACCUCCCUGCAGAAGUUAACCCAGUGCGUUACUGCGUCAUCAGAUUCCCCAGACUGCUCUGCAAUGGUCUUUAUAUCAAUCUUUACCACCCACAGUGCAGUCAUUGUUAUAAUUUGGUGGAGUUUUAAAGUCGAUUUCUCAAACCAAGUUCCGCAUCGCAAACUUGUUCUAAUACUAUGCACUCCAAUUUUUUUAGAUGUGCUUCUACAUCGCCAUACUACAUGAUCUGUGUUUGUAUAGGAUUUCAGUUCCAUAUCUCUGCCACAGAGCGGGCAUGUCCUCCACAUAAUGCUUCCUUCUCCACCAAUACUCCGAAAGAUAAAACUCAAGAGAAUCUUUUACUUUCCUUUUCCCCCACGUGUAAUUUUUUUGCUGCGCCCCAGGUGGCCUCGAUAUUAUUCGGGUCUUUAAAAUGUAGUUUGUGGUUAACCACAAGGUGGUCGAAACCUUCUAGAUUCAGCUUGUAGUAGGAUCGAAACCCAUCCGAAAUAAUGGUGGUGCCUGGCAAAACCUAUUUUUUUAUAACCGCAAUGAGAGUACGGGCCCUACGGUCGGCGACCACCUGGAAAAAAAAAUCUUUUGUUUCCACGUCUACACCGCCAAAAACCCAAUGUCCUUCGGCAGUUUUGGCACAGUGAUUUUUAGUUUUCUUAUUGUGGCCAAACAGGCUCUCGUCUAUUUGCACCUGUUUGCCUUUACCACCAAUUUUCGGAGGGUCGUCCAGAUAUAGAAGGUAGCAAACCUCCCUGCAGAAGUUAACCCAGUGCGUUACUGCGUCAUCAGAUACCCCAGACUGCUCUGCAAUGGUCUUUAUAUCAAUCUUUACCACCCACAGUGCAGUCAUUGUUAUAAUUUGGUGGAGUUUUAAGGUCGAUUUCUCAAACCAAGUUCCGCAUCGCAAACUUGUUCUAAUACUAUGCACUCCAAUUUUUUUAGAUGUGCUUCUACAUCGCCAUACUACAUGAUCUGUGUUUGUAUAGGAUUUCAGUUCCAUAUCUCUGCCACAGUGCGGGCAUGUCCUCCACAUAAUGCUUCCUUCUCCACCAAUACUCCGAAAGAUAAAAUUCAAGAGAAUCUUUUACUUUCCUUUUCCCCACGUGUAAUUUUUUUGCUGCGCCCCAGGUGGCCUCGAUAUUAUUCGUAUGUGCUCCCGUUUCCGGGUCUUUAAAAUGUAGUUUGUGGUUAACCACAAGGUGGUCGAAACCUUCUAGAUCCAGCUUGUAGUAGGAUCGAAACCCAUCCGAAAUAAUGGUGGUGCCAGGCAAAACCUAUUUUUUUAUAACCGCAAUGAGAGUACGGGCCCUACGGUCGGCGACCACCUGGAAAAAAAAUCUUGUUUCCACGUCUACACCGCCAAAAACCCAAUGUCCUUCGGCAGUUUUGGCAGAGUGAUUUUUAGUUUUCUUAUUGUGGCCAAACAGGCUCUCGUCUAUUUGCACCUGUUUGCCUUUACCACCAAUUUUCGGAGGGUCGUCCAGAUAUAGAAGGUAGCAAACCUCCCUGCAGAAGUUAACCCAGUGCGUUACUGCGUCAUCAGAUACCCCAGACUGCUCUGCAAUGGUCUUUAUAUUGUUGCACCAGGUUGCGGCUUGGCAGACUCUUCAGCCUUGAUUCUCUCCUGUGCUGGGUCUUGCAUCUUACCAGAGCGUGUUUCAACCAUCCUACAAAUUUAUAAAAGGGAAUAAUGAGAUAAGUCUACUUUAUGUAGCCACCAGAAUCAUUUAUUUAUUUUCUCACAUCAAAGAGAGCAGUGAAGUCACAGUGUACCUAAAUACAAAUGAUGAUAAUCUAAAAAUAAUCUGUUUUAAAUAAAUAUCAUAGAAUAUAAAAAUAAAUAAAUAUAUAAUUUAAAUUUCAAAUAUAUUAAAAAUAAUAUAAUAAAUACGCCAUUAAUCAUGAUGUAACAAUAUCAAUCUUUACCACCCACAGUGCAGUCAUUGUUAUAAUUUGGUGGAGUUUUAAGGUCGAUUUCUCAAACCAAGUUCCGCAUCGCAAACUUGUUCUAAUACUAUGCACUCCAAUUUUUUUAGAUGUGCUUCUACAUCGCCAUACUACAUGAUCUGUGUUUGUAUAGGAUUUCAGUUCCAUAUCUCUGCCACAGUGCGGGCAUGUCCUCCACAUAAUGCUUCCUUCUCCACCAAUACUCCGAAAGAUAAAAUUCAAGAGAAUCUUUUACUUUCCUUUUCCCCACGUGUAAUUUUUUUGCUGCGCCCCAGGUGGCCUCGAUAUUAUUCGUAUGUGCUCCCGUUUCCGGGUCUUUAAAAUGUAGUUUGUGGUUAACCACAAGGUGGUCGAAACCUUCUUGAUCCAGCUUGUAGUAGGAUCGAAACCCAUCCGAAAUAAUGGUGGUGCCAGGCAAAACAUAUUUUUUUAUAACCGCAAUGAGAGUACGGGCCCUACGGUCGGCGACCACCUGGAAAAAAAAAUCUUUUGUUUCCACGUCUACACCGCCAAAAACCCAAUGUCCUUCGGCAGUUUUGGCACAGUGAUUUUUAGUUUUCUUAUUGUGGCCAAACAGGCUCUCGUCUAUUUGCACCUGUUUGCCUUUACCACCAAUUUUCGGAGGGUCGUCCAGAUAUAGAAGGUAGCAAACCUCCCUGCAGAAGUUAACCCAGUGCGUUACUGCGUCAUCAGAUACCCCAGACUGCUCUGCAAUGGUCUUUAUAUCAAUCUUUACCACCCACAGUGCAGUCAUUGUUAUAAUUUGGUGGAGUUUUAAGGUCGAUUUCUCAAACCAAGUUCCGCAUCGCAAACUUGUUCUAAUACUAUGCACUCCAAUUUUUUUAGAUGUGCUUCUACAUCGCCAUACUACAUGAUCUGUGUUUGUAUAGGAUUUCAGUUCCAUAUCUCUGCCACAGUGCGGGCAUGUCCUCCACAUAAUGCUUCCUUCUCCACCAAUACUCCGAAAGAUAAAAUUCAAGAGAAUCUUUUACUUUCCUUUUCCCCCACGUGUAAU